AGGCGGGGUCCUGGCUGGGCCUGGGGUCCUGCUGCCUCAGGGUCAGGACCCUGGGAACCCCACCCCCACCCACCGUGUCCUGCUCCGACUUUGCUCUUGGUGGCGGCGGCGGGGACUGGGGGUCUCUCCGUGGCUCUGCCAGGCUGGGAAAUGCCUGCUCCACGUCUAGCUUCCUGCUACGGCCUCCCCAUCUUGGCCGUCAGCACCGCUCCAAGACCCAAAUACUGGGGGUGUGGGUGGAGAACCUGGCUGGAGGCAGUCGGGGCUCCGCUGCUCAGCAACUUAAGGGGACUGAGUUGGCCUGGGGUUGGUUGCACAUUCACUACGGCUGCACAUUCCCAUUCUCUGCUUCCAGGGCAAGGAGAGGACCGUGCAUCCUCAGUGACCAUGGUGCCUCACCCUGCUUUAGAGAAGCCUGUCCUUGCCCCCAAGCUGCUCUCCACAGAGUUCUGUUUGCGCACAAGAGGUCCCUGUGAAGGAGUGUCCAUCAGGUCUGGACGUGCACCUGACCUCGCUGACUGAGAACGUGGUGACUAAGGAGCUGCCCACACCCGUCUUCAGCCAACCAAGCACCUAACCAUCAGGGAUCCUGGGACUCAGGCCUGCCUUUGCCGGACACUUCCCUUCGGAUUUCCACCUGGCCACAUUCCACUCUUACUUAAGGAUUCUGCUUACAAGUCGUGUCCUCUAAGGCUCCCCGCUAGCCUUCCCCACCACGAUGACAUCCAGGAGCCCACCUCUAUCGGAUGCAGAUGAAGAUGCCAAGGGGAGCCUGACCGACCGUGGAACCAUCAUGGAGGGAGGCAGAGCUGAGGGCUGGGGGAGGUCCCGGCUGCAUCACCUGAGCCCCUGAAUCCAGCCAUACCUGAAGGUAGCUACCCUUGCCCCUCUUUGAGUUGCAUGAAUCAAUACAUCCCUUUCAUUCUUAAGCCAGUUUGAAAUGGGUUCUGUCCCUGACAAAUGGAGUCCUAGUUGGUACCCUUCUCUGUCCCUCCCACCCCAACUUCACUCUUAGCAGCCUGGGAAAAUUCAGAGAGAAAUGAGGGGGCCGUGGAGAGCCAGGUUCUGAGGCUGUGGCCGCUGCACCCCUCCCGCCACACAGGUGGGCCGAUGUUUAGGAAACGCUACUUCCACCGAAGCCUUUGGUAACACCCUGGUGCCCGCAGCACCCACAACUGGACACCCCUCCCCAGGUUUCUGUCUGCUCUGAUGAGCCCCCAGCUGCUCUCCCCCGACAUCCCUGUCCUCAGCAAGACCCCAGCUCCUCUCUGGUGUUGGAUCCCGUCCCCGCCUGCCCAGCCGUGCUCACCCCUGAAGCAGGAGCUUCUGAAUGUCCUGGGUUUCUUGGCUCCUCGCAGAGCCCCAGGGUCCCUGAUAAAUGUCUGGCACCGGUGGGGCACCCGGUAACUGUUCACCCACUCCCAUAAAUAUGCUGUUUACUGCUGAAUUAUAAAGGGUGUGGGAACAAGAGAGAGGUUUCAAAUCACUUUUCAUUCUUACGGUUUGAAUACAUUACACAGUGAUCUAAUUAGGCUUGUAUUUCAAGCAGAGACCACACUUCAAAGUAAAAUUUAAAAAUAAUUCUACUAUGGGAGGAAAUGAAUGUUUCUAAUAUAAAAUUUCAACCGCUGUGCUUGGCAGGCAGGGAAGCUUGCGGAGCCUCGUUAUCCUAAUCGAGGAAGCCCCAGAAAGGAGAGCCGUUAAGAGAAGUGACGUUUUCCUGGACAUCUGUCCUGAGAGGUUUCCAUCCCUCCUGGAUGCUCUGGGUCUCUGAGCACCCCAGCCUGUGGGUUCUGACAGGAGGUGGGUGGGAACAGGAUGGGGCCCCAGGCAGGUGCUCCAGCCCCGUGUGGGGAGCAGAGGUUGGAUGGUGGGGACUUGCUCAGACCCUCCUCUUCCUAUAGUCCCAGCGCCGCACGGUGGGACUCUGGACGGUCCUCCCUCUCCGUCUUCCCCUCACUGGGGCCCAGCACGGCACAGGGGGGGCAGCCAACACCAUUUAGACACCAGAACUGUCCGGAGUGUCCUGCCCUCUGUCUCAAGUCACGACCCCGGAUUCCCCAGGCAGCCACACACAGCGGUCUACACCCGGAGAAAGUUGCUGUGAGAACUGCGGCAGCACAGGAGGCUCUGUGUGUUUGCUUUUGUUGAUCUGUUCAACUGCAGCUCUGACUUAUUCCUGGGGUGGGGUUGAGUUGGUACCGUAGGCGGGUUAGUCUGUGACCAUCUCCAGGCGGUCCUUCAUCCCACUCUGCUUGCUCCCUUGGAUUUAUUUUUCCAGCGCGCACAGGGAACUUCCUUCCUUCUGCUAAGGGAUGCUGACCGCCUAAUUAAUUGGUUGCUCUUAUGACCUAGCCCAGCUCCCAGAGGUUCCUGUGUCAGGGCUGCUUGGGAUUUGUUAAGGAAACAACAUGCCGUUCCUCUCAUAGUCAUUUGUCAUCUGUGUCUGAACGUUCAUGACACGUCUUUGACCUAAGAUACCUGAUCUACACGACAAAUUAUUUGAGAACAUAAAAUCUGAACUUGAAAUUUUAGCAAGAAGAGAAAGCCGACGUUCACUUUUCACCUUCACUUGGGCUCUGAGCUGUCUCAGAAAGACAUAUCUGAUUUCUGUUACAUGAACGACGUGUUUCUUUUUUUCCAAGUUCUGAGGCCUCCAGCUCACAAGUCAGAUUAGGAGCAGGCCCUGAGAGGCAGGAAAAUCCUUCCUGAGCUCUUGUGGCCCCAGGACCAGGGACCAUGCUAGAGUUAACGCCUCACUCCCCACAGGGCUCUGGGGGAGUUUCCCCUUCCUCCUAAAUGGCUUUGCAGGGAGAGCUGGGCCCUGCCAGUGGGAGCCCCCUCCAGGCCAGCUGACCUGGGUGCUGGGAGGAGCUGCUGCCCCGAGGCGAGGACUGAUGUGUGUUGAAAACCAGAAUUCUGAAAUGAAAUGGAAUUCGAAUGAGAGACCAGGGGAUGCCCAGACCUGGGAGGAAACUGCAUUUCACCCGGUCGGACCCUGCCCUUGGCGUCCACAGCCCAGGACAAAUACUUCA